AGGUUUACCUGUGUGACUGCGUACCUUUUGUAUAAUGGGUCAGCGACUUAUAUUCUGUAGCAAGGUUAACCGAAUAGGGGAGCCGGAGGGAAACCGAGUCUUAAUUGGGCGUUAAGUUGCAGGGUAUAGACCCGAAACCCGGUGAUCUAGCCAUGGGCAGGUUGAAGGUUGGGUAACACUAACUGGAGGACCGAACCGACUAAUGUUGAAAAAUUAGCGGAUGACCUGUGGCUGGGGGUGAAAGGCCAAUCAAACCGGGAGAUAGCUGGUUCUCCCCGAAAGCUAUUUAGGUAGCGCCUCGUGAAUUCAUCUCCGGGGGUAGAGCACUGUUUCGGCUAGGGGGCCAUCCCGGCUUACCAACCCGAUGCAAACUGCGAAUACCGGAGAAUGUUAUCACGGGAGACACACGGCGGGUGCUAACGUCCGUCGUGAAGAGGGAAACAACCCAGACCGCCAGCUAAGGUCCCAAAGUCAUGGUUAAGUGGGAAACGAUGUGGGAAGGCCCAGACAGCCAGGAUGUUGGCUUAGAAGCAGCCAUCAUUUAAAGAAAGCGUAAUAGCUCACUGGUCGAGUCGGCCUGCGCGGAAGAUGUAACGGGGCUAAACCAUGCACCGAAGCUGCGGCAGCGAACGUAUCACCCAAGACAACUUUACGGAGUUGACGAUUGACGGAGCGAAGCGACGUCAAAGCGUUCAUUAAAGUCGAGUUGGCUUAGGGAUACGUUCGUUGGGUAGGGGAGCGUUCUGUAAGCCUG
rnacentral:rRNA from 1 species